rnacentral:rRNA from 1 species
UAACACGUGGGUAACCUGCCCAUAAGACUGGGAUAACUCCGGGAAACCGGGGCUAAUACCGGAUAAUAUUUUGAACUGCAUGGUUCGAAAUUGAAAGGCGGCUUCGGCUGUCACUUAUGGAUGGACCCGCGUCGCAUUAGCUAGUUGGUGAGGUAACGGCUCACCAAGGCAACGAUGCGUAGCCGACCUGAGAGGGUGAUCGGCCACACUGGGACUGAGACACGGCCCAGACUCCUACGGGAGGCAGCAGUAGGGAAUCUUCCGCAAUGGACGAAAGUCUGACGGAGCAACGCCGCGUGAGUGAUGAAGGCUUUCGGGUCGUAAAACUCUGUUGUUAGGGAAGAACAAGUGCUAGUUGAAUAAGCUGGCACCUUGACGGUACCUAACCAGAAAGCCACGGCUAACUACGUGCCAGCAGCCGCGGUAAUACGUAGGUGGCAAGCGUUAUCCGGAAUUAUUGGGCGUAAAGCGCGCGCAGGUGGUUUCUUAAGUCUGAUGUGAAAGCCCACGGCUCAACCGUGGAGGGUCAUUGGAAACUGGG